AUUGAACGCUGGCGGCAGGCCUAACACAUGCAAGUCGAGCGAGCGGCGGACGGGUGAGUAAUGUCUGGGAAACUGCCCGAUGGAGGGGGAUAACUACUGGAAACGGUAGCUAAUACCGCAUACCAUCAGAUGUGCCCAGAUGGGAUUAGCUAGUAGGUGGGGUAACGGCUCACCUAGGCGACGAUCCCUAGCUGGUCUGAGAGGAUGACCAGCCAAACUGGAACUGAGACACGGGCCCGACUUCUCAGGGAGGCAGAAGGGGGGAAUAUUGCACAAGGGGCGCAAGACUUAUGGAGGCAUGCCGCGUGGUGGAAGAAGGCCUUUGGGUUGUAAAGCACUUUCAGCUGGGAGGCGUUACCCGCAGAAGAAGCACCGGCUAACUCCGUGCCAGCAGCCGCGGUAAUAC
rnacentral:rRNA from 1 species